AUCUGAAAAUAUGGCAUAAUGAUACAAAGUAGGAUCCUCAUAUUCAGGCUCUGGGUCCUCAUCCCUGUAUUUUUCAGGAUGUGAGAUUCUCUCCUCCAUAAGCCGCAUAGCAAGACAAUGCAAGCUCUUUGGAGUUGAUUUAGCAGCAAUCGAGCUGGCAAAAGCUCCAUUUUUCUUUGCCUUCACGAACAACUCAUUAACAGCAAAUAUUGUGUCCUUUAACUUCUGUAUUUUCAAUUGAUUAUCGUAAGACUCUUUUGAGUCAGCAAUCAAUAACCUCGCAAACUUGACCUUAUCCUUAACCUCCUUCUCAAACUGUUUCAAGGAGUCGUCAUCCAGGGGGCCAUCAGUAUCAAACAAAUUUGAGCGGUAAUUUUGCUUUGAUUGUAGAUCAGAAAAAUUCUGGGCCAAAUCUUCAAACAUCUUAAGUUGCUUAGCAAUUUCCAACUUCAGCUUCCUCGCAUAAGCGGUGUACGCAUUCACAAGUGCUAUAUGAUCAUUUGCUUGUUUAUGUAUUAAAUCUAACCUAGUCUUCAAUGGAUCUGAAUUUAUUGACACCAAUGACCGAUGCAAGUAUGCAUUCCCAAUAGUAGAAUCGUGAUGAGAUGAGAAGAGGACGGAGAGAGUGGCGAGAAACAGUAAAGUAAACAUAGCCGAGACGAAGAUUCGAUAUGAGAAGAAAUUCCGAAGUGCCGAUCCGCCGCCACGGCCUCCUCGGACUGCAACCGCCAUUUAUUCAGAUCUCUCUCCGACGGAUCUAAUUGAUAAUGUGAAAACACCACACGAUUCUGCUCUGAAUCUGUGAAACUACAUAUGCUACCCGGAGUGCAGAUUGAGUUCAAUUUAUGUGGAAGAAUAAUGGGGAUUAAUGUGGAAUUUGUAUUAGGUAGAAUUGUAUGAGUGGAGUUGAUUAAUGAGAUCUGAAGCUGGGAGUUGAAGAUGGAGAGUGAUCUCUCUCCCGCGUCGGUGGUUUUUUCCUGAUUGCG
rnacentral:misc_RNA from 1 species